rnacentral:rRNA from 1 species
AACGCUAGCUACAGGCUUAACACAUGCAAGUCGAGGGGAAACGACAUCGAAAGCUUGCUUUUGAUGGGCGUCGACCGGCGCACGGGUGAGUAACGCGUAUCCAACCUGCCCACCACUUGGGGAUAACCUUGCGAAAGUAAGACUAAUACCCAAUGACGUCUCUAGAAGACAUCUGAAAGAGAUUAAAGAUUUAUCGGUGAUGGAUGGGGAUGCGUCUGAUUAGCUUGUUGGCGGGGUAACGGCCCACCAAGGCGACGAUCAGUAGGGGUUCUGAGAGGAAGGUCCCCCACAUUGGAACUGAGACACGGUCCAAACUCCUACGGGAGGCGGCAGUGAGGAAUAUUGGUCAAUGGACGAGAGUCUGAACCAGCCAAGUAGCGUGAAGGAUGACUGCCCUAUGGGUUGUAAACUUCUUUUAUAAGGGAAUAAAGUGAGGGACGUGUCCCUUUUUGUAUGUACCUUAUGAAUAAGGAUCGGCUAACUCCGUGCCAGCAGCCGCGGUAAUACGGAGGAUCCAAGCGUUAUCCGGAUUUAUUGGGUUUAAAGGGAGCGUAGGUUGACAUAUAAGUCAGCUGUGAAAGUUUACGGCUCAACCGUGAAAUUGCAGUUGAUACUGUAUGUCUUGAGUGUACAAGAGGUGGGCGGAAUUCGUGGUGUAGCGGUGAAAUGCUUAGAUAUCACGAAGAACUCCGAUUG